rnacentral:rRNA from 1 species
UACGAGAGGCCCAAACGUUAUUCGGAUUUACUGGGCUUAAAGAGUUCGUAGGCGGCGCAGAAAGUAGGGUGUGAAAGCCCUCGGCUCAACCGAGGAAUUGCGCCCUAAACUACUGUGCUUGAGGGACCUAGAGGUGAGCAGAACAGAAUGAUGGAGCGGUGAAAUGCGUUGAUAUCAUCUGGAAUACCGGAGGCGAAGGCGGCUCACUGGGGGUCUUCG